GAUGAACGCUGGCGGCGUGCCUAAUACAUGCAAGUCGAGCGAACAGACGAGGAGCUUGCUCCUCUGACGUUAGCGGCGGACGGGUGAGUAACACGUGGAUAACCUACCUAUAAGACUGGGAUAACUUCGGGAAACCGGAGCUAAUACCGGAUAAUAUAUUGAACCGCAUGGUUCAAUGGUGAAAGACGGUUUUGCUGUCACUUAUAGAUGGAUCCGCGCCGCAUUAGCUAGUUGGUAAGGUAACGGCUUACCAAGGCAACGAUGCGUAGCCGAGGUGAGAGGGUGAUCGGCGACACUGGAACUGAGACACGGUCCAGACUCCUACGGGAGGCAGCAGUAGGGAAUCGUCCGCAAUGGGCGAAAGCCUGACGGAGCAACGCCGCGUGAGUGAUGAAGGUCUUCGGAUCGUAAAACUCUGUUAUUAGGGAAGAACAAAUGUGUAAGUAACUAUGCACGUCUUGACGGUACCUAAUCAGAAAGCCACGGCUAACUACGUG
rnacentral:rRNA from 1 species